UGCGUAGGCGGAAUAUUAAGUCAGUGGUGAAAUCCUGCGGCUCAACCGUAGAACUGCCAUUGAUACUGAUAUUCUUGAAUGUAGUUGAGGUAGGCGGAAUGUGUAAUGUAGCGGUGAAAUGCUUAGAUAUUACACAGAACACCGAUUGCGAAGGCAGCUUACUAAACUAUGAUUGACGCUGAGGCACGAAAGCGUGAGGAGCGAACAGGAUUAGAUACCCUGGUAGUCC
rnacentral:rRNA from 1 species